rnacentral:rRNA from 1 species
UACGGAGGGUGCGAGCGUUAAUCGGAAUUACUGGGCGUAAAGAGUGCGUAGGCGGCUUCUUAAGUCAAUGGUGAAAGCUUAGCGCUUAACGCUAGAAGUGCCACUGAUACUGGGAAGCUUGAGUCAAGAAGAGGUAAGCAGAAUUCAUAGUGUAGCAGUGAAAUGCUUAGAUACUAUGAGGAAUACCAACAGCGAAGGCAGCUUACUGGUCUUGUACUGACGUUGAGGCACGAAAGCGUGGGGUAGCGAACAGGA